UCAGUGUCAAGAACUCUUGAAGACCGAUCCCUAUUGCUGUUAUUCUCCAGACAAAAUUCCAUCUUUGCGAGACCCAUAGUUUUUUCCUGAAUUUCUGGCAUUUGAUUGUACUUGAAACAGGUUGUAAUCUCAAUUGGGGGGCUCCAGAUUUUUUUCCUUCUGAUUGAGUUGAUGGACGGUGGGCUCAAGACUGCAAAGGGACUGGAUUUCUUCUGCAACAGGGAGGAAAAUGGCCACCCGUGAAAGACAACUGCUGAGGGGAAAAUCGUGUUUUGUUGAUCUCCUGAUCAGAAAAGCAAUCCAUAUGGUGGUUAAAGGUUUGUCCAAGAUGAGGAUUCUCAAAUAUUACAUUCUAAGCACCUGCUUGAAAUAAUGACCAACUAAUGCACUUUUUGGACAACUUUGUAUAGAUCAAAUAAAGGAAGAGCGAAAUAAGGAGGCUACUUUUCUUAUUUCAGCCUUCAAGUGAGAAAUUUGAUGAACUGCUCGAGUUGGCUGGCUACUACAAGACUUUUCUCAUGAAUUCUUAUCAAGAAGCAAGGAUAAAAACAUGGCAGUAGGAGAUUAUUCGAAUAAGCUCUGGGAAGAGAAAGACAAAUAAACUCUUGAAUGAUAUUCGACAUUGUAAAGAGAUUGAGAAAUGCAAACUUGAACCAUAGUAAACACUUAGGGGCCGCUUGGUUCAUGUUUAGGAAACGGAAUUGUAAUUGGAAUCAUUUACAAAAAAUUAGUAUGGGUUUUGAUUGGGUUGUGGUCAAGGUAUCAAUACAAUAACAAGCGCUUGGUAGAUAUUUGUCAGGAAUGGAUAUUACAUUAAAAUUUGAAUAUUUUAUCAUUUUUAAAUUUUUUUUUGUUCUCUCCUUUUUGUUCUUAAUCCAAUUGCAGAACAUCCUUCUUAACCGAAUUGUAGAACUUCAUAGUGACCAUUAAUGGAUCAACCGCUAUUUUUCUUGGACUUCAAGAUCACAAAAUCUGUUUUCGUAAACCCCACUUGUAACUUGAAGAUCAUUAGAUCUAGUUUCUAAACAACUUUUAAAAAAAAGAAAGAAAGAAAGACUCAGAUUUGCAGCCAUUCAACCCCCAAAAAAGAUGAGAGUCGUCAUCAGAUUGCAGCCAUACUCCAUCAAAAAGAUUUGCAGCCAUACUCCACCACUUUAACUCCUCCUUGUGACAGCCCUACCUUCCC